GACGAACGCUGGCGGCGUGCCUAAUACAUGCAAGUCGAGCGCAGGAAGCUGACGGAACUCUUCGGAGAGAAGGCAGUGGAAUGAGCGGCGGACGGGUGAGUAACACGUAAGGAACCUGCCUCAAGGAUUGGGGUAACUCCGAGAAAUCGGAGCUAAUACCGGAUAGUUCAACGGACCGCAUGGUCCGCUGAUGAAAGGCGCUUCGGCGUCACCUUGAGAUGGCCUUGCGGUGCAUUAGCUAGUUGGUGGGGUAACGGCCCACCAAGGCGACGAUGCAUAGCCGACCUGAGAGGGUGAUCGGCCACACUGGGACUGAGACACGGCCCAGACUCCUACGGGAGGCAGCAGUAGGGAAUCUUCCACAAUGGACGAAAGUCUGAUGGAGCAACGCCGCGUGAGUGAUGAAGGUUUUCGGAUCGUAAAACUCUGUUGUAAGGGAAGAACACGUACGAGAGGGAAUGCUCGUACCUUGACGGUACCUUACGAGAGAGCCACGGCUAACUACGUGCCAGCCGCCGCCGUAA
rnacentral:rRNA from 1 species